CAAGAGGACCUUCUAAGGUCCAUUUCCACUCUCACUUAAAGAUUCUAU
rfam:Sarcophilus harrisii ctg7180002461632, whole genome shotgun sequence.